rnacentral:rRNA from 1 species
GGCUCAGGACGAACGCUGGCGGCGUGCCUAAUACAUGCAAGUCGAGCGGACAGAUGGGAGCUUGCUCCCUGAUGUUAGCGGCGGACGGGUGAGUAACACGUGGGUAACCUGCCUGUAAGACUGGGAUAACUCCGGGAAACCGGGGCUAAUACCGGAUGGUUGUUUGAACCGCAUGGUUCAAACAUAAAAGGUGGCUUCGGCUACCACUUACAGAUGGACCCGCGGCGCAUUAGCUAGUUGGUGAGGUAACGGCUCACCAAGGCAACGAUGCGUAGCCGACCUGAGAGGGUGAUCGGCCACACUGGGACUGAGACACGGCCCAGACUCCUACGGGAGGCAGCAGUAGGGAAUCUUCCGCAAUGGACGAAAGUCUGACGGAGCAACGCCGCGUGAGUGAUGAAGGUUUUCGGAUCGUAAAGCUCUGUUGUUAGGGAAGAACAAGUACCGUUCGAAUAGGGCGGUACCUUGACG